GGCCUCGUGUUGUAUGGAAGACUAGUGAUUUUGUUGUUUGAAUUAUGUAACAAGAAAUCACUAAUCUGCCUACAAAGCGUGUGCG
rnacentral:pre_miRNA from 1 species